rnacentral:rRNA from 1 species
GAGGAACGCUGGCGGCGUGCUUAACACAUGCAAGUCGAACGGAAAGGCCCUGCUUUUGUGGGGUGCUCGAGUGGCGAACGGGUGAGUAACACGUGAGUAACCUGCCCUUGACUUUGGGAUAACUUCAGGAAACUGGGGCUAAUACCGGAUAGGAGCCCCUGCUGCAUGGUGGGGGUUGGAAAGUUUCGGCGGUUGGGGAUGGACUCGCGGCUUAUCAGCUUGUUGGUGGGGUAGUGGCUUACCAAGGCUUUGACGGGUAGCCGGCCUGAGAGGGUGACCGGCCACAUUGGGACUGAGAUACGGCCCAGACUCCUACGGGAGGCAGCAGUGGGGAAUAUUGCACAAUGGGCGGAAGCCUGAUGCAGCAACGCCGCGUGCGGGAUGACGGCCUUCGGGUUGUAAACCGCUUUCGCCUGUGACGAAGCGUGAGUGACGGUAAUGGGUAAAGAAGCACCGGCUAACUACGUG